UGGAAUUGAGAGGGACAGAUACGUUUUUUGCUAUGAAAGUGAUGGAUAAAGCUUCAUUGGCGAGUAGGAAUAAGUUAUUGAGGGCACAAACAGAAAGGGAAAUAUUAGGGUUAUUGGAUCAUCCAUUUUUGCCAACACUUUAUUCUUAUUUUGAAACUGAUAAGUUUUACUGUUUGGUUAUGGAGUUUUGUAGUGGUGGUAAUCUUCACUCUCUUCGUCAAAAGCAACCUAAUAAAUAUUUUACAGAAGAAGCUGCCAGGUAAUCACUCUCUUGUUUUUAUUUUAUUAUUAUUGUUAUAAUUAUAAUUAACCUAAUAAAUGUUAAUUUUGGAUCUUAAUUUUCUUUUUAAAUGUGAUUUAACAAAACAGGUUCUAUGCAUCAGAGGUUCUAUUAGCGUUAGAAUACCUUCACAUGUUAGGUAUAGUCUAUAGGGAUUUGAAACCUGAAAAUCUCUUAAUCCGAGACGAAGGUCACAUCAUGCUCUCCGAUUUCGACCUCUCUCUCCGCUGCUCCGUCAGUCCCACCCUCGUUAAAUCCUCCUCCGUCAACGUAA
rnacentral:lncRNA from 1 species